CGCGCAGGCUCAGCGGCCAUGAGCUCACCCGGACCGGGACACGAACACGUGUCCCCUGCAUCGGCAGGUGGACUCUCAUCCACUGCGCCACUAGGGAAGCUCAGCAGCUGUCUUUUAAGGAAUGAUACUUGAAGCUGUCACACAAAGGUAUUUCCAUUUUCAUCUCAUUGGCCUGAACUUAGUCACUGACCAUAGCUCGCUGCAAAUAUAGCAGGCUAGGAAAAAUACAGUUUUUAUUCUGAGAGGUUAUAUGCCCAACUAAAAAUUACAUUACUAGAAGAAGUGGGAGAAAUUAUGUCAAGGAACUGUUUCUGAAACUAAAUAAUCGUCAGCACUUGUUAUGCAUCCUUUCAGAUUGUUUUCUUGUACUAUACACAUUACUCUGCAACUGGCCUUUUUCAUUUAAUGUAUCACUGAGGUAUCAGAGUCCUCAGCUAAAAGAAAUACAAAUCAACUCUGGCUAAUUCAGCGGAAAAAUAACUUAUUAAAGGACAUUGGGUAGUUCAUACGAUUUCUAGGAAGAUAGAGAAUUAGACUUGGAUUUUAAGUUAUUCCUGUUAGUCCUGACGAAUUAGUACCCUGAGCUGCCACUGCCACUGGGCACGAACACUGCGGCUUGCAUAUCUGACUUACUCUGCCCUCUGCCCUGGCUCCAUGGGCAUACGACCUAUGCAGUCCCAUAGGGCCCUGCACUGAGAAAGGCUGUGACCUGGGUUUGUCUGUUGUUCCUGUCUUGAAAUACUUAAUAAUUUUUGAACAAGCGGCCCCACAUUUUUAUUUUGCACUGGCUCCCACAAAUCAUGUAGCCAGUCCUACGUUCUGGACAUUGGGUGCUACUAUUUGAGUCACUGUGAUGACUACCACCUCUAGAAACUGGCUGAAGCUGCCCCUGUUGCCAUACCCCUCACCAGGCUUCAUUCACUGCCUUCCCUGCUUCUUCCCCUCACCUGUUUCCAAUUCAAGAUGUGGGACUGGUGGUCUAAUCUGCAGAUUUUCUAGCUGCAACGGAGGCUAGAAAAGUGAAUAGCUGGCAUUUUAUGAUGGGAGGAAAGCUGUAUCUUACAAGGCAGAGGCAGCGGUGGUUGGGUGGGGAUCCCCCAAACAUAGGAAGUAGGUUCAGCGGCUCAAUAGUCAAAAGGAAUCAAUAAAAUAGAACCACAAAGUAUAUAUAAAUUUAUCUCAUUUUCUUAAACAGUUGCCUAAUAUUCCAUAGUGGAGACAUUUAUUCAGUCAUUCCCCUGUUAAUGGGCAUUCAAGAUAUUUCCACUUUUUGCUACCACAAUAUUGUAAUAAACAUCUUUAUACAUUUGGCCUUCUAUACUGAUGGUUUUAUUUCAGUAGGCUAGAUUCUUAAAAGUAGAGUUGCUGGACAAAAGUGAACAUGUAUUCUUAUUUUUAGUAUAUAUUGCCAGCUUACUUUUUAAAAAACACAGUAAUUUAUAUUCCCACCAGCAAGAUACAAAAGUGCUGUUUUCUCCCAUCCUUUUAGUCCCUGAAUAUUAUUACUCUUUUUCUUUUUAUCAAUCUGAUGAGUGAAAAUGAUAUAUUAUUCUUUUAAUUUUUGGUUUUUUGACUACUAGCACCUUUUCAUAUGUUUAUUGGCUACAUUGAAUUUCUUUUUUAUGAAUUGCCUAUUCAUAUCCUUUACUCACUUUUCUAUUAGUUUGUUUCUUUUUCUUAUCAAUUUGUAGGCACUCUUUGUGUGUGUUAGAGAUACACUUUUUCAGUCAUAUGUGUUGGGAUUAUUUCUCAGAGCAUGUUUCUAGUUUUUUUUUUUUUUUUUUUACUUUAUUUAGGGUGUCUUUUGUUUUAAUUUCCUUUAAAAGAUAGUUAAAUAUGUCUUUUCCUGUAUGGCUUCUCCAUUUGUUUGGUUAUUCUUGCUUAAGAAGUUUUCAUUGUACAUUUAUGUGUUGAUUGGUUAUAAUAAGCACGUAUUUCUUUUGUAAUAAAAAUAUUUUUUAAAAAAGGAAAAGAAGUUUAAAACCUUGAAAGAGUAGCCUGAAGACUUUGAUUCUUAGGUCCAAUUCUAUUACCAACUAGAUAUGGCCUUGGACAGGUCACCAAGUUGCUAUUUCAUUGUCUUAAUUUUACAAAUUAAAGGUAAUAGCAUCUACCCUGCCACUUCACAGGAUUGUUGUAAAGAUAAAUCAGAUUUUUUAAAAGUAUAAAUAUGGGUUAUAAAAAUAUAAGGUAUUAUUAUUAUUAUAUGUUUUCCCUCUUUACUUGAAAGGUAAUGUGAUGAGUAAAGAGAUCACUAGAUUAGGAAGUCAUGUUCCAUCUUACGCCAAUUACUAACCAGUAUGCCUUUGCGCAACUUGUUUAGCUUCUAUGGGAUUCAGUUUCCUCAUCCUUAAAAUGAAAGUGUUGGUCUCUAAGUUUCUUUCCAGCUUUAAGGAUCUAAAGAUAUUAUAGCAAAAUCCCUAACAAUAAAGUUAUAUAAUUUUUUUGGUAUUAAAGGAUAUUCUUAGUAUUAAGUGUUUAAAUAUGUAUCUUGAAGAUACGUAAAUGGAGAAUGGAUUGGAAGAUGACAACUAUGGAUGCACUGAAACUGAUUAGGAGCCUUCUGCAGUUGUUUAGGUGAGGGGUGAUGGUAGAUUGAACCAGGAUGAGAGCAAAGGAAAAUGUAGAACAGGUGAGCUAGCCUUAAAAGUCUCAGUUGAUCAUUUGGCCCAUCUUGGGUGUUUGUUAAGUCACAGCACGCACUCAAAUGAUGGACAGAUGUAGGUCCAAAACCAAAAUUAAUCUUCCUAUUUCCCAUUCCGAUUCACAUUUGUUCUCCAGUUUUACGUCUUAAGACUAAGACUCUUUCUAGUGCAGACCAAUAUUUUGACAUAAGUAGUGGCUCACAGUUUACUCAUUACAUUCAGAUAUGCAUGGGAAAAAAUGUAGCCUAUUUUAUAAUUGAUCCAACCUGUUCUUAAGCCUCUAUCCUACAAGAUGUGGAGAAAUGGGGGGAAAUUUAACUGCCCAGUUAAAGAUCUCUAAGUUUUUUCUUGUUUAAGUUGUGGUGGUGAUUGUGUUUCCAAAGAUGACAACAAUAUGUCCCACCCCGUAAGUUGUUUUGAAAUGUGACCUGGACAAUUACCCUACAAGAGGUAGAGUCUAUUUCCGCUCUCUACGAAUCUGGGCACUGCUGAUAUGGUUGCAGCUAGAUAUUCGAUACCACAUGCUCUUAAACGUGAUGCUGACACUUCCACUGAGGAGUCUGUAUUCUCUCCUCUUGAAUUUGGGUGGGCCUAUGACUAAGGUGGAAGUGACGCAGAGCCAAAGGUGACAGCUUCUGCUUGGUCCUCUUGGGAUACCACAUCUUGGAGUCCAGCCACCUUGGAUCUGAGGAAGCAGAGAGACCUCAUGGCGAGUCCACUUGUAGGUGCUGCUGCUGACAGCCUCAGCUGAGAUCCCAGCCGACAGCCAGCAUAACAUCCAGACAUUUGAAUGAGCAGCUCCAGAUGAUUCCAGCCCCCAGCCGUCAAGUCACCUCUGCCCUCCAAGUCUUCCCAGCUGAAGUCCCAGAGAUUUUAAGCAGAAACAAACUGUCCCCAACAUACCCUUUCCAAAUUCUUGACUCUGGAGUCGUUUGUUACACAGCAGUAGAUAACGAGAACACUCUCUUAUUCUCCUCAAGGUGGCAUCUAGGUGAAAGUGGACCUACCAUGACCUAGAGGUAGCAGAAAAGGGAGGCAACCCUGUGGCUGGCAGCUGGCACCUUACUGCUCUCAGAUGUGUUGGGCUGGCCUUGUCCCUGGGUGCCAUGUGCUAAGUUGCAGCUAUUUCUGUUGGGCCUUUUGCAAUCCUGACAUUAAUUGCUCAAGUCCAUUGACCCAUCCCAUUCAUUUGCCUCUAGCUGCAAAGUCUCUGCCCAAUAAGCUGUUUUGACUCAUUCCCAGACUUCUACAAAAGACAUUUGUUCUAGUCUAGGUGUCUUCCCUUGGAAGGAGAUGGGAGUUAAAUCUAUUCAGAAUAUAUUCCUCUCUCCUCCACCCCCCACCAGCAACUCCCAGUGUGACUGUAUUAGACGAGAUGGUGGGUCAAGUUCUCACCUCCUACUCUUAGGGGUUUUUUGUUUGUUUUAUUUUGUUUUUUUAAUCCAUUCCUCAGGAGUGGGAGGCUCAGAGUCCCUUCCAGCACUAGCCCCACCUUCAGGGUUUCAUUAGAAUAUUUGGGAGUGUUCUGCAAGGGGUGUAGGCAGGAGCAGCUGUGUUUAAGGUAGCAAGAAGUACUGCUGGCACCCCAACCUCAGUUUCCUGCAGUUUCCCUACUGCCUCACCUUGUUGUCAGAAACCAGGCAAUUCACCUCUUCCAUGGUAGGGCUGGGGCUCACAUUCUCUUGUUUGACUUGGACCUCACAGCUGCUCCCUCCAAGGACUCCAAGACAAAGUACACUCUUUAUAGGCCUGGUCUCAAGUGAUGCUCUGAUUUAAAAAGGGAUUUGUGGACAAUCAGUACAAAUGACCUGGGUUUGCGUCAAAAUCCAUCACUAGAAUGGGAACUCAGGCAUAUGUCUUUACAACUUUAUUUCCUCAUCUGUAACAUUUUGAUGAUUAUCUCAUAAGAUUGUUAAAAUGAUUGACAUUGUAAACUACUGUGAUACAAAGUAAAUGUAAAACAAAUGUUA